GGCACCAUUGGGCAGAGCUCAACGCGACACCUUCCUCCGAACAACUGAGGUGAUGUAGAGAGAGAGCCACGCGGGGGAGCCGGGAGACGAUGGUGGCUGCUGAGCCGUUUGAAGAUAAUUUGCAGACAUCUUUGGUUUCGUGCUGGGCGGGGGGACUAGAUCCUCUUUCAACUUGCCCUUGAAAAAGAGUGCUCCAUAUCAUUGACGCUUUCUCCCACUGCAAUAAACUGAAACACAUCUGCAUGGUGUGUUUAUACACUUUUUUAGGAAACCUUUCCUGGAAUUAAA